rfam:Aedes aegypti strain Liverpool supercont1.330 genomic scaffold, whole genome shotgun sequence.
UAGUCUAAUGGCUAUCACUUCUGCUUCGCAAGCAGAAGGUCAUGGGUUCAAUCCCAU